rnacentral:misc_RNA from 1 species
GAUGAAGAACGUAGCGAAAUGCGAUAAGUAAUGUGAAUUGCAGAAUUCAGUGAAUCAUCGAAUCUUUGAACGCGCAUUGCGGCCCUUGGUAUUCCGAGGGGCAUGCCUGUUCGAGCGUCAUUUCAACCCUCAAGCACAGCUUGGUCUUGGGCUUCGCCGCUAACCCGGCGGGUCUUAAAAUCAGUGGCGGUGCCGUCGGGCCCUGAGCGCAGUAAUCUCUCUCGCUAUAGGGUCCCGGCGGAUGCUGGCCAGUAACCCCCAAUUUUCUAUGGUUGACCUCGGAUCAGGUAGGGAUACCCGCUGAACUUAAGCAUAUCAAUAAGCGGAGGA